rnacentral:sRNA from 1 species
UGUCAACAAAUACCAAAUCUGUCUCGUAAUCGUAGUGCGUAGUACGCGAGCAAAAGCUAACGCGAAUAAUUGAAAGCGGAAAAGCAAAGCAAAGCUAAGCUGAAACGUGCAUUGCAUAUUACGAAAUUGCAGCUGCCAGUUGAACAGCCUGCCUGCCUGCGUUUUAAGAGAAAAAAUUUAAAUCCAAGGAAAAGACUAUAUGUACACAUAAUAUGUGCAUAUAUAUAGAAAUAGUCUAAAUUGAAGACAACCCGAAUGCAAGCAGCAUCAGCAGCAGCGGCAGCAACAGCAGCAGCAACAAAAACAGCAUAGGCAAGAACCAAGAAAAA